UACGUAGGUGACAAGCGUUGUCCGGAUUUACUGGGCGUAAAGAGCGCGCAGGCGGUCGUUCAAGUCGAGUGUGAAAGCCCCCGGCUCAACUGGGGAGGGUCACUCGAUACUGAUCGACUCGAAGGCAGGAGAGGGUAGUGGAAUUCCCGGUGUAGUGGUGAAAUGCGUAGAUAUCGAGAGGAACACCUGCGGCGAAGGCGGGUUGCUGGGCCGACACUGACGCUGAUGCGCGAAAGCGUGGGGAGCAAACAGG
rnacentral:rRNA from 1 species